GACGAACGCUGGCGGCGUGCUUAACACAUGCAAGUCGAACGGGAGUAUCAAAGAAGCUUGCUUUUAAGAUACUUUAGUGGCGGACGGGUGAGUAACGCGUGAGGAGCUGUCCUAUGCAGGGGGACAACAGUUGGAAACGACUGCUAAUACCCCAUAAGCCGAGAGGUAAAAGGAUUUAUCCGGCAAAGGAGGUACUCGCGUCCUAUCAGCUAGUAGGUGGAGUAACGGCUCACCUAGGCGAAGACGGGUAGCCGGCCUGAGAGGGCGAACGGCCACACUGGAACUGAGAUACGGUCCAGACUCCUACGGGAGGCAGCAGUGGGGAAUAUUGGGCAAUGGAGGAAACCCUAACCCAGCGACGCCGCGUGGGUGAAGAAAUCCUUCGGGAUGUAAAGCCCUGUUGUAUGGGAAGAGCAGAAGACGGUACCAUACGAGGAAGCCCCGGCAAACUACGUGCCAGCAGCCGCCGUAACAC
rnacentral:rRNA from 1 species